UAUUAUUGAGAACCAGCAUAAAAACUGAGGAUAAGAUAAACAGCAGCAAUGGAUCCAGUCGUAAUGUGGUCAGGUAGCAGGAAGCACAUUUAUCCUUCGAGCAGUACAAGAGAAGGAGGAGGAGGACUGAGGCAUUUGUCUUGGCAGGAGGCCCAUGAGAAAGUGAAGAGCCAAUGAAAGGUCUGAGGUGAGAUGGAAGACUGAGGAGAGAGAGCUGUCCUGUGAAGAUGCUCGUUUUUGAAUUAGUUAGACCAAGAAAUGGAGGCAAAGCAUUUUGCUUACCUGGUCCAAACACAGAAGAAGGAAUAUUUAAAAGGACAUGAGGAGGGCAGACUCUCACAGGCAAAUCUUACCUUUUUCUCUGGAGCAAUAAAAACUGCCGUAGAAAGAAGACUUUGGAAGUAAGUAAAGAGGAAACCAGACUCACAGGGAGGAAAGAAGAGGCAAGCAGGAAGAUGCCAAUAAAGGCAGACAAGACAGAAAAUGGAGGCAGAAGGAAAAGUUUGCACAUACUCAAGGGGUUCCACUGCUUUUCUGUGAUACUAAUGCCUCACUAGACCCAUAAGGAUUUUUGAAAUACACAAAAUAAAGAAACCGUGAUAGGAGAAGAACAAUUAAGGACAAAAAUGAGAAAAAAAUUACAGGAAUAAUUCUGCCUCAUUAGAGGUAUGAUAAUAAACAAUGAUAUGUAUUUCUGGUGAUAAUGAUCCUGAAGUUCACUCUCUCCACUUAUUCCAACUCUCCCCACAAUACCACUACUGUCUAAUA